ACAGCAGUCACUGCGCUGCAGGGACAGUCCCCAAGUGCCAAGGCACAGCCUAAAGGGGCCUGUUCCCACCAUGGCAUCCGUGACAAGAACCAGGAGCCAGAAUGCAGGUUUCUGGGACUUGUCAGCUCCCUUCUGAGUGCCCUGUUGAGGAUUCCUAGAAGUCCAGACACCUCACCCCCCUAACCUGGAUGGACCACGCAGAGCCAAUAGGAAUACUUUUCUGUGGACGUGCCAUGUUGGAAUCCCAGAUCUCCCUGCCCUGCCAGCCCCUGCCAGCUUCCUGGGGACCCAACUGACCCUGAAGAAAGCCUCUGAUGGGCCUAGAACAGAGAAGGUGACCCAGGACCUUGCCCAGCCUUUCUGGACAACUGGAAGACAGUUACGCUUCGUCCUCCACCUCUCCCUCCAACAAAAGGAUCUUAGCAAGUGUUGGAGAGGUGCUGAAGUCGUAUUAGGACCAACCAGACUUUUUCUUUGAGGAUACUCAGAAGGAGUGAAGGAGAAUGGAACAGGGGGUGUGAAUAAAUGAGCUUUCUCCAUGUGUGAUUCAAAGUGGUUUAACCCAUGCCUCACCUUCUAGAACACCCGUGGCCCUCUCUAGCCAUGAGAAGUGUCACCACUAGCCAUCAAAAUGCUCCCAAAAGUCCAACCUUUGACCAAACUACAUUUCAGAUUUUCAUUUCAGAUUUUCUUAAAUUCUGGAGAAAAAAGAAAAUAAAGUAAAAGAAUAAAUA
rnacentral:lncRNA from 10 species